rnacentral:rRNA from 1 species
CCCUUGGAUGUUCUGGGCCGCACGCGUGCUACACUGAUGCAUUCAACGAGUCUAAAACCUGGUCUGAUAGGGCUGGGUAAUCUUUUGAAAGUGCAUCGUGAUUGGGAUAGAUGAUUGCAAUUCUUCAUCUUCAACGAGGAAUGCCUAGUAAACGCAAGUCAUCAGCUUGCAUUGAUUACGUCCCUGCCCUUUGUACACACCGCCCGUCGCUCCUACCGAUUGAAUGAUCCGAUGAAUACCAUGGAUUGAGAGUACGAAUAGGUUCGCUUAUUUCUGCUGCUCGAGAAGUGGAGUAAAUCUUAUCAUUUAGAGGAAGGAGAAGUCGUAACA